rnacentral:rRNA from 1 species
AUUGAACGCUGGCGGCAGGCCUAACACAUGCAAGUCGAGCGGAGCGGCGGACGGGUGAGUAAUGCCUAGGAAUCUGCCUGGUAGUGGGGGAUAAAGUCCGUAAACGGGCGCUCAUACCGCAUACUAUCAGAUGAGCCUAGGUCGGCUUAGCUAGUUGGUGUGGUAAAGGCUUACCAAGGCGACGAUCCGUAACUGGUCUGAGAGGAUGAUCAGUCACACUGGAACUGAGCCACGGUCCAGACUCCUACGGGAGGCAGCAGUGGGGAAUAUUGCACAAUGGGCGCCAGCCUGAUGCAGCCAUGCCGCGUGUAUGAAGAAGGCCUUCGGGUUGUAAAGUACUUUCAGCGGGGAGGCGUUACCCGCAGAAGAAGCACCGGCUAACUCCGUGCCAGCAGCCGCGGUAAUUC